GUGGAUCUUGUGAGCUGGGUUGCCUUGCUGUGGUGCUUUCGGACUCGCUAACUAUGUUAUCACACAGUUUUGCAACCAAAUCGCCACUAGAAGUCACUGUGUUCUGUUGACAUGCAGAGUCUGCACAAAGUUUAUCGUCUCCAGUUGUAGAACAAAUGGCUGGAAUCACCACAGAAUUCUGAUCUACUGGAGCAUCAGCACUCUCCUCACGACUUCGUGAAGUUUCCGUUUCUGCUGUUUUUUCAGUGGAGGUUUCUUCAUUACUAAAUGCAAGUGAAGACUCAGCAGGUUUGUUACCAUCCAGGGAACUGGCAGCAGGGGCACAGUUUGGAACACUGAUUUUAUCCACAGGCUUACUUGUGACGUGCACGUCAGAGGCUCCAGCUGUGCCAAUAUUAGAGUUCUCAAAUCUUUCCUUUGUACUUUCCCCUCCCUGAAGCACAUUCUUCCAAACAGUGGCAUCUGGGUUCAUGAGCCCAUGUUCCAUUUCCCCUGCAGUGUCUGGGGUACUGACAUUUGUUGUUGAAAUGCCUCCCAGUUCACCUCCAGAGGAAUACUGGGCUGUGCCUGGCUCCAUGACCAAGUCUCUCUGAAGCACAGCAUCUCCACUGCUCAGGGACUCCUGGUCUGUGGGCAUUCCAGAAGAUUUUGUUCCAGUUUCUUCAUUUCUGUUUCCACAGGACGAAAGGCCUUCCGUGCCCUUUACUCCACAAUCAGGCAAGCUCUGAAGGCAGCUGUCUUGAUCAGAUACAGUUCCAGAGUCCACAAUAGGUGCUGGCUCCACCUCUUCCCCUUUUCUUUCCACGCCUUUAUUUUUCUUCCUACAGGAACGGUCUGUAUUCUCCUCCUCAACUAUGCUUGACAAAUCACAGGGACUUUCAGUCUGUGCAACAGGGCUCCCUGGGCAGCACUGAGUGCUCUCAGUCUCUUCAGAAGAAGAAAGUCGCUGAGGGUCCGUGGGCUCCGGUGCACAGGGAAGAAACUGGCCAUCUGUCUCUGGGGCACUGGAAGGAUCCUGUGCUGUCAUCAUUAAGGGCAUAAGACUGUCCAUCUGCUUGAGGUUUGUUUUCUAGGAGGAAAUGAAAUACACUUUUAAAAAACUGCCUGUAGGAGAAGAUGUCACUGACACCUCUGAGCAAAAAUUCUGUUGGACAGAACUCACUUCUAUUCUAGCUCUUCUAAGGUCACAUGAUAAGCGAAUCUAAAAGAAUACAAAUAAAUUUCCUCUUAUUUCUGAUAUUACUUUCCUUUCAUAUCUGCCUAUAUACUGGGAUGUUCAAAAUAGAUUAGGAUAUAUGAAAUAUCUAUUUUCUAAAUUUUGAACUUAUUUUAGGAAGUAGAUGAAAACUGAGUCUCGCCGGGCAUGGUGGCUCAUGCCUGUAAUCCCAGCACUUUGGGAGGCUGAGGCAGGCAGAUCACCUGAGGUCAGGAGUUCGAGACCAGCCUCAACAUGGAGAAACCCUGUCUCUACUAAAAAUACAAAAUUAGCUGGGCGUAGUGGUGCAUGCCUGUAAUCUCAGCUACUUGGGAGGCUGAGGCAGGAGAAUUGCUUGUACCCGGGAGGCGGAGGUUGCAGUGAGCCGAGACAGCACCACUGCACUCCAGCCUGGGCAAUAAGAGCAAAACUCCGUCUUAAAAAAAAUAAAAAUAAAAGAGUCUCAAAAACCUGAUUUUUAAAAAGCUCAGUGAAUAUCUUCAAUUGAGCUGCUAACAUUAAGGUGGGCUCUCUCAUUCUGAGGCCAGGCUGAAGUGCAGUGGUGUGAUCACAGCUCACCGCAGCCUUGAACUCCUGGGCUCAAGUGACCCUGCCGCCUCAGCCUCUUCAGUAGCUAGGACUACAGGUGUGCACCAUUGCACCUGACUAAUUGUUUUAUUUUUUGUAGAGACGGGGUCUCACUAUGUUGCCCAGGCUGUUCUCCAACACCUGAGCCUAUGGGAUCCUCCUACCUUGGUCUCCCAAAGUGCUGGGAUUAUAGGGCCUACACCACUGUGUCCCACCUAUAUUUUUCAUUGUCUUCAGAAGGGCAGAGUCUACUUACACCCUGCCUCAUAUAUACAAGUAAAAACAAAUCCUAGCUCUUUUCCAUUACAAGGUGCAGCCAAUGUGCCUGUGCCCUAAAUACUUACUGAGUUCAGUGUCCUUUAAUCCCCAAAAUAUGUUCCAACCAAUCUAACUUAACCAUCGAGUUAUGGGGUCAUAAUUUCAGGAACAGUGGCAUGGCAGAUAUUCUUUCACCUUUUGAUAAAAUCAGAACAUAUUAAAUAUAAAAUAAAUGAGAACAUAUACCUAUAUACUGUCAGAGUAUAUUAUGGAUACUAUAUGUAAUCUCAAAAAUGGAUUUUGCAACUUUAAAGUAUUUAAAAAAUAUAAACAGAUAUAACCAACAGCAUGGGAAUGAUUAAGAAAAUCAAGGUUCAUAAAACUGAUGGAAGAAAUACUAGCCAUUAUUAACUAUGAGGACCAUAUUGCAAUUAGAAAAAAAUUAUUAAUCUAAGUUUAUAAAUAUGCAAAAAUCCCAUGUGCAUGCAGCAAGGUUUAAAAUGGAGAAAAACAAAUACAGGUGAUCUUUAGUGAUUUUACCUUUAUAUCAAAAUUUCAAAAAUUCUUAUAAAAAUAUUUUCUCAACACCUAAAAUCUAUUUUUCCAAACAUCUGGUUUGCUCGCCAUUCAUUCAUUACCUGAUCUACUGCAAUAAUAUGCAUACCUACUGCCAUCCAUCCUCUCAUUCACCUACUCACUCAGUGAAUAUAUUGGGCACUUACAGGGUUCCAUCAUCAGACCAUUCCUAUCUACCUACUGAGCCUAUUGUAAAAGUUUAUAUGUACAAGUGUAAAAUGUGUCAUGCUUGUUAAAGUCUUUCUAGUAGAGUGUACAAGCAAAAUGGACUUUCACUAAAAGCUUCUGUGUUAGGCUCCUUAAGAGUAUUCAAAAUUAGCUUAUUUCCAGUCCUGCUGAGAGUACGACAGUCUCCUAAAAAUCAGGAAAUGAAGUCAUUAAAUUUAAUAAAUGGUAAACAUUAUAAAACAGAAAUCUGGCGAAACAAGUAGUGUUGCCUAAAGAAAGUAGCACAUGUAUGUUCCCACAGUUUUAAUUUCUCGUAUUUGCCUGCCAACCAUUUCCAUAUCUUGGCAGGUAGCUUUGGUACCUGCAAAACUAUAUUUUCAAGUGAACUACCAUUCACCUAGUAAAAAGAGCUCUAAGGAAAAACCUGAUUGCCUAGAAGUCCAUUCAGAGGAAAAUGAAAUGUCACGUGCUCUGGAACAAACACAAUUCUAAAACACAAAAGUGGGAGCAUCACAUAACCCUAUGGAAUUUCUUGGCUUGCUGGUCUCAAAUAAUGCAUGCUCCCAAAGAAGCCUCUGGCAUUGAGCUGACCUUAAAUGAAAUUACUGUCCAGUGGUUUCCAAAUCAAAUCAGCUCUGAAAUAAACUGGGUGGAAAAAUUACCUAAACACAGCCUUUCAGAUGUUAUGCCCAAGAGAGAUGUACACAUAUGACGUUUAUGUUAUUCGUAAUAAAUGCUAACAGGGAGUCUGUAAUGUUUUUAUGUCUGGCAACAACUUUAUCUUGAAGACUUGAGUGGAUUAUAAAAUCUUUUCUGUUUUUUUUAGCUAUCUUUGUACCAUACAACUAUUGAUUUAAAUAUAGUAACACUAUAUUUAAAUGGUACAUAUCAUCGCCACUAAAAUAGUUGUAAAAAUACUCCUGAUUAAAUUUGGUUCUUGUUCUUUGGCAACAAUCUCAGAAACUGUUGGUUCUUUCAUUUUGUAAAGUUAAGCCAAACACAGACAAAUAUCCUUUUAUGCCAGAAAUUUAGUUCUAGUUGUUGCAUAUUUCUGUACCUGAAAUGUGUGUCUUCCAUUAUUCCCAAAACCAAUGAAAAAAACCUCUCAGUCCCCCU
rnacentral:lncRNA from 1 species